CGUGGCAAGCACCGCCUUGGUGCUCCUGGGCAGCACUCUGGCCUGUGGUGAGAAACAGUGAACUUCUGCUCCAUUCCAUUUGGAACAAAUAUUUAUGUAAUUUGCAUCUUCAAGUCACAGAAUCCAGGAACAAAUAACCUCAGAGACUGAAAACAUUAGGAAAUGACCAUGAAAGCAAAACAACCAGGAAAGGAGACCAAGUGGCACUGAAAUGUCUACAUAGAAAGUGACUGCAGUUGCUCUGCAUUCUCUCCCUAAUGAGCCACCUAACUGGACGUGGAACACUCCUGCCAGCAGCAAUAGAAUCAGCAUCUCUGUGCUAGUAAUAAGGACUUUCUACUGGUUUUACAUUUGCUUUUGUGUUUUGAAACUAAUGUUUAGUGCUUCAUAGAAGAUGAAUCUGUCUUUAACAUUAGAAAUUUCCAGUACUGCUGAAUUUGCAAGGAGUAAGGUUGUGUCCCAUGAAAAUGAUAGCGAAUCCAAGCUGAAUGCCGUAAUUUGAACACGUUAGUCUAUCUUCCUGGUACUCUUUGAAUCUGAAUGUACAUGUCUCUUGAAAAGGACCAUGCCAGUGUCUAUCAGGAGAUGGAAAAAGAAGUUUCAUGAAAACAGCCAUCUUUCAAGAAAGCCUGUUCCGGAGAUUCUUGGUGAAGGAUUUGUCCCACCCCUGACCUCUCUAACUUAACAAGAUUUCCUAACUGAUCUACUCACCACAGUUCUCCUCCCUGUUCCUGGCCGAACAAGGUGGGCAGUUCAUUAAAUUCUCAUGUGCUUCUGGGGCAGCCCUCAAGAAGAUACUGCACUUGAGGGUUGGCUCCAGUUGCUAAGCCACACUGAUGAUUGUGAAUAUACUGUGACAGCUGUUACAUCUGUUGUAAUGUUCAGCAAGCAGCAACACAAUGUGAACAUUACUUUUACUUUUAUUCUUGACCUGGAUGAUGAUAGUACCAGGCAUUGGUACUUGGUACCAAAGUAAUUGUACCAAGAGAAUAUUUUCUGUUGAAUGUAAGAUUGUCUUUAGG